rnacentral:rRNA from 1 species
AUUGAACGCUGGCGGCAGGCCUAACACAUGCAAGUCGAACGAGUGGCGGACGGGUGAGUAAUGUCUGGGAAUCUGCCCGAUGGAGGGGGAUAACUACUGGAAACUGUAGCUAAUACCGCAUACCAUCGGAUGUGCCCAGAUGGGGUUAGCUAGUAGGUGGGGUAACGGCUCACCUAGGCGACGAUCCCUAGCUGGUCUGUGAGGAUGAACAGCCACACUGGAACUGAGGCACGGUCCAGAAUCCUACGGGAGGCAGCAGGGGGGAAUAUUGCACAAUGGGGGCAAGCCUGAUGCAUCCAUGGCGCGUGUAGGAAGAAUGCCUUCGGGUUGUAAAGUACUUUCAGCGAGGAGGCGUUACUCGCAGAAGAAGCACCGGCUAACUCCGGGCCAGCAGCCGGGGUAAUAC